GACGAACGCUGGCGGCGUGCUUAACACAUGCAAGUCGAACGGAAAGGCCCUGCUUUUGUGGGGUGCUCGAGUGGCGAACGGGUGAGUAACACGUGAGUAACCUGCCCUUGACUUUGGGAUAACUUCAGGAAACUGGGGCUAAUACCGGAUAGGAGCUCCUGCUGCAUGGUGGGGGUUGGAAAGAUUCGGCGGUUGGGGAUGGACUCGCGGCUUAUCAGCUUGUUGGUGGGGUAGUGGCUUACCAAGGCUUUGACGGAUAGCCGGCCUGAGAGGGUGACCGGCCACAUUAGGACUGAGAGACGGCCCAGACUCCUACGGGAGGCAGCAGUGGGGAAUAUUGCACAAUGGGCGGAAGCCUGAUGCAGCAACGCCGCGUGCGGGAUAACGGCCUUCGGGUUGUAAACCGCUUUCGCCUGUGACGAAGCGUGAGUGACGGUAAUGGGUAAAGAAGCACCGGCUAACUACGUG
rnacentral:rRNA from 1 species